UUUAUUUUUUAUAAAAGAAAUGAAGAGUCUGUUGCUCGCAACAAUUUGUGGAAGUCCGCUUCUUCAAAUUACUGGUUGAGGUGUAGUUUUAUUUUGUAUCUUUUGUUGGUUUAUAAAUUUUACCAGUCAUUUAAAUUUGUUGUUUUUACACAAAAUGUGAACAAGUAUGUUUCGGUCUCAAUGAUUCCUACUGAUCUAAAUGAUUUUUAUUUUAUUUACUUACUUUUUUUUUUUGUUGAAGUUUUUAUUUCUAGUCAAUUUCUAGAUUAUAUUUCGGUUAUAAUUUAAUUUAAUUUAUAUUUACGAAAGACAUGAAGAGUCCUUUGCUUUUGGCUAUUUUUUAAGUGGUUCAUGAGAUAAUAUUUUGUAUUUUGUAAUUUUUGUUUGUUUAUAAUUAUAUUAGUAAUUUUUAAGUUGUUUAUUUUACAUAAAAUAUGAAUAAAUAGGUUUAUAUCUUUAUUCCUUCUAAUUUUUUUUACAACAGUCACGAAGAAAUUAAAUAUCUAACCUUUUAUUAAAAAAUAAAUAAAUAAAUAAAAAAGAAUAAUGGCAAAACUCUCUGCUUCAUUCUUCAUUACAUUAAUAAUGUUUUCCACGCUUUUCUAUGGUGUUUUAGGAUCGAACUCGUAAACUUGUCAAAUAGAUAUAAAUUAUCUAUUUGGUGGUUCAUUUUCUGGUGUGUGCGAGAGUGUAUGCGAAAGUGCAGCCGGUGGAGAUGUUUCGAUUGCUUCAGCUUAUCAUUCACGACAGCAGCGUAGAUAUCGUCGUAAUAAUGUUUACUUUUAUUAUUUCUUAUAUAAAUGACCUCAAUUUUCAAAGGCUACCAAUGUUUUGACUCCUAAUAAUAUGGUCAAUUGAUUUA
rnacentral:lncRNA from 1 species